GCUAACGUGGCAGAGACCGGUAAUUGCAAAAGCUCUAAGACCUUUUGACCGGGGGUUCAAUUCCCCCCGCUAGCU
rnacentral:tRNA from 1 species